rnacentral:rRNA from 1 species
CGGGUGAGUAACGCGUAGGAAUCUAUCCUUGAAUGGGGGACAACCGUGGGAAACUACGGCUAAUACCGCAUGAUGCCUGAGGGCCAAAGACGAAAGUCGUUUGAGGAGGAGCCUGCGUCUGAUUAGGUAGUUGGUGGGUAAAGGCCUACCAAGCCUGCGAUCAGUAGCUGGUCUGAGAGGAUGAUCAGCCACACUGGGACUGAGACACGGCCCAGACUCCUACGGGAGGCAGCAGUGGGGAAUAUUGGACAAUGGGCGCAAGCCUGAUCCAGCAAUGCCGCGUGGGUGAAGAAGGUCUUCGGAUUGUAAAGCCCUUUUGGCAGGGACGAUGUAUGACGGUACCUGCAGAAUAAGCUCCGGCUAACUUCGUG